rnacentral:misc_RNA from 1 species
GUCUCGAUACACCAAUACAACAGUUCUCUUUUUUCUGUCACAGAGGAGCUUGCAAAACCAACUAUUAUGUGAUGAAUAAAUAGUACCCAAAUAACAUAUAUUUCUAGGAGGAGUUCUAUCACAUGAUGGCAAAUAAACUAACAAAUUGUUCUUUUGAAUGUCUUUGUCCUUCCAUAUUACCUCACCAUGAUUGAAGAUUUUCACCAUGCCCUUUAUGUGAGGAUAUAGCCGCAUGCAAAUUUCCAGAGUAUCAGCUGUGU